rnacentral:rRNA from 1 species
GACGAACGCUGGCGGCGUGCUUAACACAUGCAAGUCGAACGGAAAGGCCCUGCUUUUGUGGGGUGCUCGAGUGGCGAACGGGUGAGUAACACGUGAGUAACCUGCCCUUGACUUUGGGAUAACUUCAGGAAACUGGGGCUAAUACCGGAUAGGAGCUCCUGCUGCAUGGUGGGGGUUGGAAAGUUUCGGCGGCUGGGGAUGGACUCGCGGCUUAUCAGCUUGUUGGUGGGGUAGUGGCUUACCAAGGCUUUGACGGGUAGCCGGCCUGAGAGGGUGACCGGCCACAUUGGGACUGGGAUACGGCCCAGACUCCUACGGGAGGCAGCAGUGGGGAAUAUUGCACAAUGGGCGGAAGCCUGAUGCAGCAACGCCGCGUGCGGGAUGACGGCCUUCGGGUUGUAAACCGCUUUCGCCUGUGACGAAGCGUGAGUGACGGUAAUGGGUAAAGAAGCACCGGCUAACUACGUG